CUCUGCAUUCUCGCCACUUCUGGUCUGGGUUUUGCUGUUCCUUUUAAUCUAGCGAGGGUUUGGGGGUGAUCUGAAGUAAUAAUCGUCUACUUCUCUGUCAUAGGGACCCAGCAGUCAAAACAGAGCACUGAAUUGAAUCCUGCUGGUUGCUGGAAUUUAGCUGUAGCAGAAGCUAUCUGGUGGCAGCAGAAGAGACAAGAUAGAGGAUGCAAGAUGGCAGCAAAGAACACCUGAAUUCUAGAAGAUCAAGGCUAUUAUGUUGUGAGCUGCUCUAUAGAGAGGCCUGGUGGCAAGGAGCUGAAGGCAGCCUCCUGUCAAUAGCCAGCAAGGAGCUGAGGCCAUUGGAUCAACAGCCUGUGAGAAGCAGAACCCUGCCCACAAUCACACGAGUGAGAUUGGAAGCAGAUCCUUCCCAAGUUGGGCCUUGAGAUGACUGCCAUUCCCACCAGCACCUUGACUCCCACCUGUGGGAGACCCUGAUCCAGAAGACCCAGCUAAGCCAUGCACAGAUUCCUGAUCCACAGAAAUGAGAUGAAGUCUUGCUGUGUUACCAUGGCUGGCCUUGGACUGCUGGGCUCUUCCCUCAGCCUCCUGAGUAGCUGGGACUACAGGCAGACCUGGAGAAGAGUAGAACCAAGCAAAGAGGAACCCGAAAGAAGUCUGUAAUUUGGGGCACAUGAUGAGAGUCUUAUUCAUGAGGGCAUUCACGGAUGGGACAACAGUAUGAGCAGCACAAUUCUCCCUGUUGGUUUGUGUGUAGAGGAACGGAAACACACGGUGUUUGGAGCUGGAAUACCUAGAUUGCAGUUUCUACUCAGCCGCUUCCUAGGGAUGUGACUUGACCUUUUCAGUGUGUUUCGCCAUUUAUAACAUGGAGAUCGAUAAAUGACACCUGCUUCAUAAAGUGUUUCCUUUGCAGCCGUGAGAGCCAGUUCCAGCCAACAAGAUAUAAGGGGAAGUCAGCCGAGGGUUUCUGGAAGUUUCCUUGUUAAGAAGAAAAGCUGCUGUUCCCACCACCACUGCUGUUCCUUUUUGUUUGGAUGCUUAGGAAAGAUCCCAAUUCUUGGAGCAGUGGCAGCCAUCUUGGGGACAUGAGCUUCUUCUCUCAUCUCAAUCCUCCAGACAAGAAAUGGACUCCUCUUGUGCCCUAUGCCCUCGGGCCCAGUUAAUUGUUGCUCAUCAACCUGGUGCUGAGACAAGGACUUGGUUGCAGGUGGUUUACUUGGGGGAUAAUCCCAGAGAACACAGCGAGGGAGUGGAGAAGUGAGACAAGGAAAGGAGAAAGCCAAUACGGGUAUAUUAAUGAGCAGAUCCCAACUGUGGGCAACUGGGGCUCAAUCCUGCUGGGGACCUCUGGGAAACUGAAGACCACACCUUGGAAUCAUCUGCCCAGAGGACAGUGAGGUGGGGACAUUUAUCACCUGAUUUCCAUCCCCAUUGGUUGAGGUUUGUCGCUAGGGGUGUUCCUCCCUGGCACUUAUGGGUCACGUCUGCUGCAGCUGGAUGACAGAGAGAGCCCCAGUGCAGAGAAGGAGGAAGCUGACAGUGUACUGGGAAUUGUCUACAGUUGCAGGAGAACUCAGACACGAAAACGGCCAACUGUUUCCAUCUGAACUGCAUUCAGCUGCAGGGAACAGAAACCUGACUUCAGGGACUCAUACAAAUCCGAGCUGCUUUUGCUCAUAGAGCAAGAAGACUGGCAGGCCACGGUUGCUGGUAAGAGUUCAGUGGCUUGAGCAUGCUGUCAGCAACUCAGAUGUGGGGCCCACUUUCAUCCAGUGGAUGGAUUUUAAGUCUGUCUACUCUGGUUAAUCCUUCUACUGAAGGGAAGUUCUAUGUAAAAGUCAUUUCAGAGGCUGGCGAAGUUAAAAAAAAAACAAUUAAAAGUAGUGUUAAAAAUAGUGAGCAUGUGUCUUAGGGUUUGGCAGUGUUGCGUUUAAAAAACGUUUUGCCUCGUACCUGGUCCUGGCUCUUGUCAUAUUUAAAAUAGACAUUUCCUCUUUGUUUUGUUUGUUCUGUUGUCUCCUGUGCUCUGGGGUCAAAAGAACUGUUGCCAGUAGAGAUGGGAGAACACAGUGAGCAGGACUCUGGGCCCUGGAACCACACUGGCCUAUCGAUCUUCCACCAUUUUUGACCUACAGAGAGGGCAGGAGUUCGAAACCAGCCUGAGGAAGAGCGAGACCCUGUCUCU